GGAAACUAAACUGCCUACUCGAACCACCUAACUGAAGCUACUCUCACUCCAACUCUCUCUCUCUCUCUGCUUGCCGGCGGAGGGAAUUCUGCUUUCACGAGUUUCUUCGCUCUUCACAAGCUUCCCGAUCUUUAUUAUCUGUAUUAGCACGAAAUUUCUGUUUCAAUUUGCUUACAAUUUCCUCUUAAUUCGAGUUUUCGCAAUUCGAGCGAUCGGAAAAUUUCUUCUCCCAGCCGAUGGAUCGUGCUGGGUUUAAAUAGGCGAAACGAUGAUACGCAUCACGAUGAGCUCGUUGAUGCCCUGUUUUUCCUGUUGUGCUUGAAAUGGUGGAGAGAUUUGGGUGAACAGGAGAGGAAGCUUAAUGAAGCAGAAGGUUGCGCAGCGGAAGGCGCUCUUCCAAUGGAGGAGGAAGCUCGUAUUUGUUUUUCUGCUUGUAUUUUGCUUCGGGAGUUUAGUUAUGAUGCAGUCUCGGUAUGGUCGGGUUAUGAUGAUGUCGUCGUUGCAUCGUCAAUCGGCUCAGGGGCCGAAAAUCGCGUUUCUGUUCAUAGCUCGGAACCGGCUUCCGUUGGACAUAGUUUGGGAUGCGUUUUUUCAGGAGGGGGAGAAUAAGUUUUCGAUCUAUGUUCACUCGAGGCCUGGAUUUUUAUUUAACAAGGCGACGACAAGAUCGAUCUAUUUUUUAAAUCGUCAAGUUAAUGAUAGUAUACAGGUAGACUGGGGUGAGGCAAGCAUGAUUGAGGCAGAACGCAUCUUGCUUAGACAUGCACUUACCGAUACUUCAAAUCAACGAUUUAUUUUUCUUUCUGACAGCUGCAUACCAUUGUACAACUUCAGCUACACAUAUGACUAUGUCAUGUCAACUUCAACUAGUUUUGUGGACAGUUUUGCUGAUACAAAAGAAGGGCGUUACAAUCCUAAAAUGGAUCCUGUAAUUCCUGUUCAAAACUGGAGGAAAGGAUCUCAGUGGGUUGUAUUGACAAGAAAGCACGCGAAGGUUGUAGUGAAGGACAUUACAGUCUUUCCUAUGUUUCAACAGCAUUGCAAGAGGAAGUCACUACCAGAGUUUUGGCGUGAUCGUCCAUUUCCCAAGGAUGUAUCCAAGGAACACAACUGUAUUCCUGAUGAACAUUAUGUUCAGACUUUAUUGGCCCAAGAAGGGCUUGAAGAAGAGCUCACACGAAGAUCACUUUCAUAUUCAGCAUGGGAUCUCUCAUACUCCAAAGACCACGAACGUCGUAAUUGGCAUCCUGUAACAUACAAAUUUUCAGACGCUACACUUGAUCUAAUACAAUCUAUAAAGGGUAUUGAUAAUAUAUAUUACGAAACCGAGUAUCGAAGAGAAUGGUGUAGCAGAAAUGGAAAACCAUCCAGAUGUUUUCUUUUCGCGAGGAAGUUCACCCGUCCAGCCGCCCUCCGCCUUCUUAAUAUGUCUGCGCUCGGAGUGAAGCCUCUGUAAUAUUUGUAAAGACGUCCAAAUCCUACAAUUGCCAGUCGCACAGAAUAAUUUCUCGUUCUCGAUAUAGAGGGUCUUACAUUAAAGGAGUUUAGGCACCAAGUUGAAAUAAGUAUUAAACAUUCUUCAAGAGAUUAAGAAUGAAAAUGGGCUAAUCCGUGCAUCAAACUUUAAAAUGAAAUGAAUAAAACAACAAGAACUUUAGUAGCAGGGCCGGAAGCACAUCAUUAUUGGCAUUGAUCCCAAGGGAGAAGGAAUGACGCAGGAAUUGGAGAGAGUGGUUUGUAAUAUUCUUUCAAACAGGGAAUUUAGUACGGAAAA